GUUAUUUAUUAAAGAUUUUUAUGCAUAAGAUAUCUUUCCAGAGAAGAUUAGCAUGGUCCCUGUGCAAGGAUGACGCGCAAAUUCAUGAAGCGUUCCAUAUUUAA